AUACGUAGGGAGCAAGCGUUGUCCGGAUUUACUGGGUGUAAAGGGUGCGUAGGCGGCUUUGCAAGUCAGGUGUGAAAACCAUCGGCUUAACCGAUGGACUGCAUUUGAAACUGCAGAGCUUGAGUGAAGUAGAGGCAGGCGGAAUUCCCGGUGUAGCGGUGAAAUGCGUAGAGAUCGGGAGGAACACCAGUGGCGAAGGCGGCCUGCUGGGCUUUAACUGACGCUGUGGCACGAAAGCAUGGGUAGCAAACAGGAUUAGAUACCCUGGUAGUCCAUGCUGUAAACGAUGAUUACUAGGUGUGGGGGGUCUGACCCCUUCCGUGCCGGAGUUAACACAAUAAGUAAUCCACCUGGGAAGUACGACCGCAAGGUUGAA
rnacentral:rRNA from 1 species